GUUUGAUCCUGGCUCAGGACGAACGCUGGCGGCGUGCUUAACACAUGCAAGUCGAACGCUGAAGCCUAGCUUUUGUUGGGUGGAUGAGUGGCGAACGGGUGAGUAACACGUGAGUAACCUGCCCCCUUCUUUGGGAUAACGCCCGGAAACGGGUGCUAAUACUGGAUAUUCACUGAUCUUCGCAUGGGGGUUGGUGGAAAGGUUUUUUCUGGUGGGGGAUGGGCUCGCGGCCUAUCAGCUUGUUGGUGGGGUGAUGGCCUACCAAGGCUUUGACGGGUAGCCGGCCUGAGAGGGUGACCGGUCACAUUGGGACUGAGAUACGGCCCASACUCCUACGGGAGGCAGCAGUGGGGAAUAUUGCACAAUGGGCGAAAGCCUGAUGCAGCGACSCCGCGUGAGGGAUGGAGGCCUUCGGGUUGUAAACCUCUUUCGCUCAUGGUCAAGCCGCAACAUUGGUUGUGGUGAGGGUAGUGGGUAAAGAAGCGCCGGCUAACUACGUGCC
rnacentral:rRNA from 1 species